ensembl:lncRNA
CUGCCGUCAACUCAGGCAUGGUUGUCACUUCCUCCUUCAGGCCGCCGUCGUGUUCCCCUGUUAUCAUACAACGUUUGAAUUAUUUGUUAUUUCGUGUGUUUUUGCUACUAGACGGAACCAAGAACUUGGCAAGAGCACAGCCAGAUGACUCAUCUUGCCCUGAUAGCUGGGGCCUCAUCCGGAAUAACACACAUGUCAAGGACUGGAGCAGCUGAGGGCUGGGUGAGCACCUUUUCUCUCUCCAGUGCAGUCUUGCAGCCUGCUGUGUCAUGAACUAAGAACGCCCAUGAGCUAAGCACAGUUUUAAAAUGUAUUAACGUUUUAAAAAGAAUCUGAAGAAGAAUAAAGCCCCAUGAGGUCUGAAAGUUAUAUGAGAUUCAAAUCUGUAGCCAUAAAUAAAGCUUCAUUCACACGGCAACACACACUUGUUUACAUGUGGUCUACUCUGUGCAACUCUGUAUCCUGAAAAAUUUGCUGGUGAAUGACCUCCACGUGUGGCUAACAUGGGCUCAUGGCUUCAAGGGUGAGCGUUCAGGAGACAGGACGUGGAAGCUGCGAUUUUCCCAAAGUAUCUCCUCUUGUUCAAAGCUUGCCAAGGAUAGUGUGACCUCCUUCAUCUCUCUCACUUGACCUACAGCCUUUUCCCAAAAGAGGAGAUUUUUGGAAGGUAGAGG